rnacentral:rRNA from 1 species
CAGGCCUAACACAUGCAAGUCGAGCGGAUGAUGAGGAGCUUGCUCCUCUGAUUCAGCGGCGGACGGGUGAGUAACACGUGGGCAACCUGCCCUUGAGACUGGGAUAACUUCGGGAAACCGGAGCUAAUACCGGAUAAUAUUUGGAACCUCCUGGUUCCUUAUUAAAAGAUGGUUCCGGCUAUCACUCAAGGAUGGGCCCGCGGCGCAUUAGCUAGUUGGUGAGGUAACGGCUCACCAAGGCGACGAUGCGUAGCCGACCUGAGAGGGUGAUCGGCCACACUGGGACUGAGACACGGCCAGACUCCUACGGGAGGCAGCAGUAGGGAAUCUUCCACAAUGGACGAAAGUCUGAUGGAGCAACGCCGCGUGAGUGAUGAAGGCCUUCGGGUCGUAAAGCUCUGUUGUUAGGGAAGAACAAGUGCGAGAGUAACUGCUCGCACCUUGACGGUACCUAACCAGAAAGCCACGGCUAACUACGUGCCAGCAGCCGCGGUAAUACGUAGGUGGCAAGCGUUAUCCGGAAUUAUUGGGCGUAAAGCGCGCGCAGGUGGUUUCUUAAGUCUGAUGUGAAAGCCCACGGCUCAACCGUGGAGGGUCAUUGGAAACUGGGGAACUUGAGUGCAGAAGAGGAAAGUGGAAUUCCAAGUGUAGCGGUGAAAUGCGUAGAGAUUUGGAGGAACACCAGUGGCGAAGGCGACUUUCUGGUCUGUAACUGACACUGAGGCGCGAAAGCGUGGGGAGCAAACAGGA